rnacentral:lncRNA from 1 species
AAAGCUCACAGCCAGCAUGAAAUCUGCAUCGAUGAGCAAAACAGCCAUACAACCAAGCUCGCAGCCAUUUAGGUCCACAUCUAACAGCAGCCAGCAUGAAGUCUACAUCUACGAUUUGAGAUCGACCAAAAUACCACAAUUCACUACAACCAGCAAGCUUGCAGCGAUACAACCAAGAUCGCAACCAUUUAAGUUGAGUGCAAAAUAUUUCAUCUCCACGGACUUCAAAACAACAUAAAAAUCAUGAACACUUGCAACCGGCUUCAAGGGACCCUCCUAGCAUUUCUUCCAGAACUGCCUGAAAGUCAAUGCCAGUCAAUAUGGCAUGGAAUCAAUGACAAUUUCUAGCAAAAUAACAGAAAAAGGAAAUGUCAUACAAUCACUCAAAAUGCUACCAGUGUCAUACUUAUCUUAAUUAGCACAGUACAAGACCUUGGGCAAACAAAAAGUUGCUAUUCUUUUAAGAUCGAUGCUCAUCACAGGUGAUCUUGAUUGUUUAUUCAUUAGAGCAGCACCUAACUAAGCAUAAUAGUGUAGUUUUUCACUUAUGUUCAGUAGAGCAUCACCUAUCUUAGCACAGGACAAGAGGGCAAACAAAAAGUUGCCAUUCUGUUCAGAUGUUCAUCUAUAGAAGUUAAGGAAAACAUUGAUCUCAUCUAUAGAAGCUGGACAGAUUAUAUAAAGAUUGUUGAAAGCAGAAUUCAGAAUAAAUACCUGUAGUACCCUGGAAGGAUUUUGAUGCUUGUAGCUAUAGGUUCUGUUCCUGCAGAGAUAGUAUGUAUGGGGUAUAUAUUAUCAAGAAAUGGAGCCAACAGUAAGAUAUGUUUAACAUAUACAGCCCAAUAAUAUUUUCUUUUCAUCUGGCCAUGCAACUGAACUACAUGUGCACUUGCUCUAAUAUUUUCAUAUCUGACCAUCCAACUGACAUCAAUUUUACUACUGAUACAAGAUACAAUAAUGGAAGUGCAAGUAUUAAAUCAAUUUUUAAAGCUACAGGUUCUGCUCCUACAGAGAUUCAAAAUGCCUAUGUUGCUCCAUUUUUCACCAGAAGAAAAUUUACCACAAGAAGCUAAUGGAUUAAACCUUAGCUGUGAUACAUACAGAUUGAGGAACUAUAUGAAAGGAAGAAAUACCUCAUGUCUGAGCUAUUAAGAUACUUCACUUUUACCAUUUAAGGAAAAACCUAAGCAACCAAUAUCCUUUAUUAAGAACAACAUCCCCACUGAACCAAACUUGGCAAUAGGAGACUAAUUAUCAGAAUGCACAAACGAGCAUCCAAUAGUUAUAAAUCAUUCUCAGUGAAAUAUCAAUGAACACAUAGCAACCAAGAGGAAUGCUAGGAUUGAACCUUCAGUUGGACAAGUGUUGGCAGGAUCAGGGCGGCGGCUUGCAAGUUGGGGAAGAGGCGGACUCUUUGUCGUGGCCGG